AUGACGACGGCCAGCUUUCUCCGCCGCCUCCUCCGCAGAUCGCCGCCGGCGCCAGAGCAGAAAGGCAAAGAUCCCCUCGUAUGCAGGCCCCCCUUCCUCCCGCGCGCCUCCGUGGUAUGCACUUGCUUGCGCCGCCGCGGCCCUCCCCUCCUCGGUUUCUUCAUCGACCACGUCGGCGACAGCAUCACCUUCGAGCCAGCUCCGGGCGCGCCCUACCGCCUCCCCCGCGGACUCUUCUCCUUGGAGCUCGACGGCUGCUACAUGACCCUAGGAUGGCGCCACGGCCUCGGGCUCUUCUUCCACAAGAUCCGGUUCGAGGUCCUGGUGUGGGAUCCCGUCGCCGGCCACCAGCACCUCCUGGCCGUUCCCCCGGAUUUCGAGUUCCAGGGGGCCAAGGGUGAUAUCAGCGGGGCGGUGCUUCGCGCCGCCGGAGACGUCGGCCACUUCCGGGUGGUCUUGGUAGGCAGCAACGGGAAGCAGCCUAGGACAGGGCUCGCCUGCGUUUACUCGUCGGAGACCGGCGUGUGGGGUGACUGCGUCUCAACGCCGCUUCCAUCCGAGGGUUUGUUCAUUUUCAGGUCCAACCCCGCUGUGCUGGCAGGGGAUUGCCUUCACUGGUCGCUUACCAUGGCGGGUUCGAGAAGUAUCCUCAAGUUUGAUUUGAACAGGAAGAGCCUAGAUCUGAGGCUGCUGCCGGGGGAUUAUUAUACCCCGCUCAGUCCUGUCAAAUUCGCGGUUAUGCGAGCAGAGGGUGGUGAGAUGGGUUUCCUCUUCUUAUACGGCUUUAUCGCCCAAUUAUGGAGUCUGAAGCCCUACCGCGAUGGUGUCGAAAUAUGGACGCCAGGGAGAAGUAUUGAACUGGACAAGUUACUUGGGCUAAAUCCAGAGAAAGAUCCCCCACAGGUGAUAGGGUAUGCCGAGGAAAACAAUGUGGUGUUCUUCUGGACAGUUGUUGGUGUCUUCAUGGUCCAUCUCGAGUCAUGGCGGUUCAACAAGCUCUCUAAGACUAGCAUCCAUUCUUGGUACCAUCCAUUUGAAAUUGCCUAUACUCCAGGCAUUGCUGGUGGACACGAUGGAGCUAAAGUUGUGACUUGUGAGCCGUUGGUGGAUGACACGAUGGGCACGACGACACACAAAACAAUUGUUCAGUUAGAUAUGCUAUUGUGA
rnacentral:rRNA from 1 species